rnacentral:rRNA from 1 species
UACGGAGGGAGCUAGCGUUGUUCGGAAUUACUGGGCGUAAAGCGCACGUAGGCGGCUAUUCAAGUCGGGGGUGAAAGCCCGGGGCUCAACCCCGGAACUGCCCUCGAAACUAGGUAGCUAGAAUCUUGGAGAGGUCAGUGGAAUUCCGAGUGUAGAGGUGAAAUUCGUAGAUAUCAAGCGGAACACCGGUGGCGAAGGCGGCCUUCUGGACAGUGACUGACGCUGAGACGCGAAAGCGUGGGGAGCAAACAGG